rnacentral:rRNA from 1 species
AUGGACUUGCCGCCGCCGCAAGUCAUGUCAAUAGAAGGCCAGCAGGAUGACGCGGUCGCCGAUGGUCGUGGAGCCGGCGGAGAGCAAACACUAGAGGUGCACCGGUCUCCCGGCUCAAAUUUGAAGGAAAAAUCAUCUUUCGCAUUGCAUUGUGCUAAUAUAAAAUUUAACUGUGAACUCUGUGCAUCACAGGUUAAUAAUGACGGGCAAACGUUGGUUGUUCCUGAAGUUGGAAAGACUUACGAUUCAGAGGAAGCUGCUUAUGACAUGUACAACACAUAUGCCGGCAAAGUUGGAUUUAGUAUUAGAAAGAACCAGACAAAGCGUCGACAUGAUGGUAGCAUAUAUCAAAAAUAUAUAGUUUGCAGUAACGAAGGUCAUCGAGAAACCGUGUCGUCGAAGGACACUACAAGGACGGGUUGCAAUGCCCGUAUUCAGUUUAGUGUUAGCAGAGAAGGGCUUUGGACGGUGCAAAAGGUUGUAACCGAUCAUAAUCAUUAUCUUGCUAGUCCCAAUAAGGUGCACAAACUGAGGUCCCAACGACAUGUUAUAGAGGCGGACAGACAUCUAAUUGGCCAAAUACGGGAAGCCGGGAUGAAGCCAUCCCAGGUGGAAUACUUCAUGGUAGAGUUUUACGGAGGACCGGACAAAGUGCCAUUCUCAAAGAUGGAUUGCAAUAACGAGAUUGUUCGUGAGCGCAAAAAAUACUUAGAAUCAAAUGAUUCACAAACACUUUUGGAAUACUUGAAAAAUAAGCAGAGAGAGGAUCCAACAUUUUUUUAUGCCAUUCAGGUAGAUGAGAAAGAUCGUCGGAUUGCUAAUUUCUUUUGGGCAGAUGGCCAGUCUAUCAUGGAUUACGCAUGUUUUGGAGAUGUUGUAUCAUUUGACACUACCAAAUGCCUUUUGCUCCAAUCCUUGGAACCAACCAUCACAAGCAGACUAUAA